rnacentral:rRNA from 1 species
UGGGGAAUUUUGCACAAUGGGGGAAACCCUGAUGCAGCGACGCCGCGUGAUUUAGAAGGCCUUCGGGUUGUAAAAAUCUUUUCUAUGGGAAGAAAAUGACAGUACCAUAGGAAUAAGGACCGGCUAAUUACGUGCCAGCAGCCGCGGUAAUACGUAAGGUCCGAGCGUUGUCCGGAAUCAUUGGGCGUAAAGGGUACGUAGGCGGGUAAGCAAGUUAGAAGUGAAAUCCUAUAGCUCAACUAUAGUAAGCUUUUAAAACUGCUCAUCUCGAGGUAUGGAAGGGAAAGUGGAAUUCCUAGUGUAGCGGUGAAAUGCGCAGAUAUUAGGAGGAAUACCGGUGGCGAAGGCGACUUUCUGGCCAUAACCUGACGCUGAGGUACGAAAGCGUGGGUAGCAAACAGGA